rnacentral:rRNA from 1 species
CAAGGGUUGGGCUGUUCGCCCAUUAAAGCGGUACGCGAGCUGGGUUUAGAACGUCGUGAGACAGUUCGGUCCCUAUCCGCUGUGCGCGUAGGAGUCUUGAGAAGGGCUGUCCCUAGUACGAGAGGACCGGGACGGACGAACCUCUGGUGUGCCAGUUGUCCUGCCAAGGGCAUGGCUGGUUGGCUACGUUCGGGAGGGAUAACCGCUGAAAGCAUCUAAGCGGGAAGCCUGCUUCGAGAUGAGGACUCCCACCCACUUGAUGGGGUAAGGCUCCCAGUAGACGACUGGGUUGAUAGGCCGGAUCUGGAAGCACGGUAACGUGUGGAGGUGACCGGUACUAAUAGGCCGAGGGCUUGUCCUCAGUUG